rnacentral:lncRNA from 1 species
ACUUCACCACAACACAGGAGUUCAUUAGAAGAUGAAACAAUUUAUGAUGAAAAAUAUUAAAAUAAUUUUUAUUAAUUUAUAAUUCAUAUACUAAUACAAGAAAGAGCACAACCAUCAAUAGACUGACGAUUGGCUUUGGGACACUAUUCUCAAUAGUCUUUGUGUGGAUACCUGUUGAGAUCGGGUGCAUGUGCGGCUAAAGGAACCUGUUCAGAUCCAUGAUCAUCGACUGCGGUGUAGAUCGAUAUGUGCAAAAGUAUUGAGAUUCGAUCUCAAUAAUUUUUUUUUAUUUUUAGAUUAUAUGCAUUUUAUAGAUCCAGAAGCUUGGGUAGUAUAGAUUAGAUCUAUUGCAUGUGAGAUUAAAGGGAUUUCACCUAGAUCUAUUUUUUGUUGCAAUCAAAAAUCUUUUUGAAAUUCAUACAUGCAAUCUAUCCGAUUUUUUAACAAUUGUAGGAGGGAUUCCAACGAUGAAGGAAGGUCCACAAGGAGAAGGAUAGAAGAGCCAAUCAUUUUUACUAAAGAGGAUGC